CGGCAGUGGAUUUCAACUUUAAGACUCAUUGAAGCACUCCUGUGAUUGACCCUCACAUUAUACAAAACUACUUUUUACAAUUACAGCUUUAUUUUAAUGGUAGGAUUUUUUAUUAUAAGUAUAUUUUUGUAUUUUUGUUUUUGUCCUGCAAUGCUUUGGCAAAGAUAGAACAGAGUUUUUCAGAUCUCCAGAUGAUCGAAGAACAUGGACAAGUAAUCUGUAUGAUUAAUUUGAAGCACAUAAUACUCAAUAUUUAUUUACUCUUUAUUUAAGAGAAAGAGCCAAUAAAAUGUUUUAUUAAAAGUUAUCAUGUUCAACCAAACCGUUGAGGUGGCUCAAUAUGAUUUAGAUCCAACUUUAUUUUCAGACUCAAAGUCCAUUAGCAAAACUUUUCAAAAAGACAAUACAUAACAGCACAGAAGUAGCACAAUGCACUUAAAAAGCCAGUUAAAACAAUGUUUUCUCAUAACUGAUAAUAGUGAAACAUCCAACCAACAAACAAAUGUAUACAUCAAAUUUCUUAUUAAACCAGGAAAGGAUUGCAUUUAUGUCUUACAGAACAAUUCAGGUGCACUGCUCCAUCUUGGUUUUUCAACAGGAUUGUGACCUGAAACUAUGGGCUCUCUUUUUAACUUAACCCACAGGAGCAGUAUAAAAUAAGCCAUUAAAGCCAUUAUUUUUAACACAUAAAAUUAACACAUAAAAAAUGGUCCCAUUCCUAUUUUUGUCUCAUCAGAUACAUUUUAUCCUCAUCUUUUUAUUUUUUACACUUGAUGGACAUUGACCCUUAACACGUCAAGUCAGCUCAACUAUACAAAAUAAAUAAAAUUUAGGGUCAAUAAGAACAAAAAACAUAUGUUGUUUUUAUGACCUGAACGAACUAAGAAAAGUGAAAAAGGAAAAAAACUGUUAAAUACAAUUUUUUUUGCUGUGACCUACAAAGGGUUAAAAUUAUAGCGGUGUGAUAUAAACAUUAUAUAAGAAUUAUAUGCAAACGUUUAAUUAUAUUGUCGUUUAUAUUUCACCAGUGAGGAAAUAUUUGUGUGCUCCCUGUUUGUUGAAAGUUUUGUUUUGGUGCUUAGUCACGUGUCAUUCACGGCUCAGGUGAUUGGCUCAGAAGAGUUUCCAGAUAUGGUUCGCUUCCUGAAAUUCCCCAUUAUGUGACCUGUUGCACGAAUGCGCGUAUAUGAGGCGUUCAGCAUGGAAUAAAGUAGCGUAAAGCCUAGAGCAGGCCAAAUUACACGGAGAAGUGCUUUUCACCGUCACAAGCAUACAUAGAUUGGCGGAUGACGUUGUGCUUCACACGUGUUCUUGAUUCCUGUGUUUGGUGUCAUACUGGAGCUGAGAGCACGCAGGUAAAGGCACACCCGCACCACCCUAACCCAGUCCCAUUGGAGUCAUCGAGUGCCUGUGGAGCUGAUGUGAUCCGCUGUAGGCGGACACCUGAGCGCCCAGUGGAAACGAAAUGCCGAAGGCCGGAGGAAGCAUCGGCUUGGUGGCCAUCUUCAGUUUCUCGAGUUCGGCCUCUUGGAGCCUCUUGGCUUUGGCUCGUCUGUUCUGGAACCAGAUCUUCACCUGAGUUUCUGUUAGAUUCAGUGAGCUGGA